rnacentral:rRNA from 1 species
GAUGAACGCUGGCGGCGUGCCUAAUACAUGCAAGUCGAGCGAACAGAUGAGAAGCUUGCUUCUCUGACGUUAGCGGCGGACGGGUGAGUAACACGUGGGUAACCUACCUAUAAGACUGGGAUAACUCCGGGAAACCGGGGCUAAUACCGGAUAAUAUUUUGAACCGCAUGGUUCAAUAGUGAAAGACGGUUUCGGCUGUCACUUAUAGAUGGACCCGCGCCGUAUUAGCUAGUUGGUAAGGUAACGGCUUAGCAAGGCGACGAUACGUAGCCGACCUGAGAGGGUGAUCGGACACACUGGAACUGAGACACGGUCCAGACUCCUACGGGAGGCAGCAGUAGGGAAUCUUCCGCAAUGGGCGAAAGCCUGACGGAGCAACGCCGCGUGAGUGAUGAAGGUCUUCGGAUCGUAAAACUCUGUUGUUAGGGAAGAACAAAUUUGUUAGUAACUGAACAAGUCUUGACGGUACCUAACCAGAAAGCCACGGCUAACUACGUGCCAGCCGCCGCUGUAA